rnacentral:lncRNA from 1 species
UCCCACAAGGCAUAGUCAGCUUCUGAAGGUCGGAGACAUUUUAAGAGGGGCAAAGAGUAUGAUCUCUUGUACAGCUUGUUCUCAUAGAGGAUGUACCGGGAGGCUUGAUUUCUGAGCUUUUGAGCUUCUUUUGCAUCAUGAGGGAGGACUCCGUCCCUGAGAUAUGCCACCAGUGGGUCGAUCCAACUGGACUCAUGAUCAAUUUUCAUCAUGGGCCAUGAUUCUUCCAUACUUGGGCACUUU